CUGGGGAAAUUGAGGCCUUGUGCUGGACAGGAACGCAGGGCUGCUUCAGGCUUCAGAAGAAUUGCCACUUUUGCAGUCAAAUCCAAGUAACAUCUGCUCUAUGCAACCAGUCAAUAUUGUGGAAAAGUUCAAAGAAUGAAGAUCAUUAGUAGUGUCAGCUUUACAACCAGAAGCAUUGGUUAAUUGUGCUUUAGGUAGAUGGCAGGGAAGUGUCUGCAGGCACAGAGAAACUCCCCAGCCUAUGUCUCCUCAGUCAGCUUCACUGUUUGGUGUUUGGCUAGAGAAGUCUUCCCACAGCAGAGGCUGUGUCCAGAGCUCUCCUGCUUCCUGCCAGAGCUGCUAAAAUUAUGUAUUCUUCACUACUCACUAAGAAGAUUACUGAGCCAGCUGACCCAAACAGCAGCAGCACCAAUUAGACAUCAUUCAAAAUUAAUAACCACUAUGAUGAUAACAAAUAAAAAGAUUGAUUCUUCUGAUGCGAGAAUCAUUUUAAUUAAUUUAAUCCAUGUUGAAAGAUCAGCUGUGCCCAAUCCGGCUCACCAGUGGGGCCCAUUUGUCCCUGUCUGUCCCCGUCACCUAAAGCCAGUGAAUAUGAUCAGUAGCCAGCACUUAGGGAACAAUAAGAAGCAGAUUGUACUGUCAGGCUUCAUUAAAGAUCAUCAUUAG
rnacentral:lncRNA from 1 species